rnacentral:rRNA from 1 species
ACGAUUGCCGCGAGCCUGACGGAGCAUACCGCGUGAGGGACGAAAGCCUUUGGGUUGUAAACCUCUUUUUUCAGGGAGGAAGUUCUGACGUGUACCUGAAGAAUAAGCAUCGGCUAACUCCGUGCCAGCAGCCGCGGUAAGACGGAGGAUGCAAGUGUUAUCCGGAAUUAUUGGGCGUAAAGCGUCUGUAGGUGGCUUAUUAAGUCUACUGUUAAAUAUUAAAGCUUAACUUUAAACUUGCAGUGGAAACUGAUAAGCUUGAGUACGGUCGAAGUAAAAGGAAUUUCCAGUGAAGCGGUGAAAUGCGUAGAUAUUGGAAGGAACACCGAUGGCGAAGGCAUUUUACUAGGCCCUUACUGACACUGAGAGACGAAAGCUAGGGUAGCAAAUGGGAUUAGAUACCCCCAGUAGUACAA